rnacentral:rRNA from 1 species
GACGAACGCUGGCGGCGUGCUUAACACAUGCAAGUCGAACGAAGUGGCGAACGGGUGAGUAACGCGUAAUUAACCUGCCCUUCAGAGGGGGACAACCGUUGGAAACGACUGCUAAUACCGCAUACUGAAGGAGGGGAUUGCGUCUGAUUAGCUAGUUGGAGGGGUAACGGCCCACCAAGGCGAUGAUCAGUAGCCGGGUUGGGAGGAUGAACGGCCACAUUGGGAAUGAGACACGGCCCAGACUUCUACGGGAGGGAGCAGUGGGGGAUCUUCCGAAAUGGACGAAAGUCUGACGGAGCAAAGCCGCGGGAGUGAUGACGGCCUUCGGGGUGGAAAGCUAUGUUAAUCGGGACGCAGUACCGGAAUAGAAAGCCACGGCUAACUACGUGCCAGCAGCCGCGGUAAUAC